UGAAUCUAUCAAAGCGUGCUUGUUUAUGCACAGCGGUACCACUCGGUAUCACGCCGCCAUCAGACGAGGUGGAAGUGAUUCACGGGGUGAGAAGUGCAACGACAGUUUGAAACUAUGCCAACAUACAGAACAUUCACACGGGUGCAAUGGCGUAGCCGAGGGGAGAUUUUAGGGGUAUGAUCCUCCCCACAUAUCUGAAUGUGUUUCGAUGUAGACGAUUCAUGACUACGCCUCUGUAUGGAAACAAAUUGAAAAAGAAGCUGUUUAUGGCAAAAAUAGCGGUCACAGAUCGGUGUGUCUAUUCGAUGACAUUAAGCAAUACUCGUGAGUUCUAUCAACCGUGAAGAUCACUUUGGAUGACGUGAAAUUCUGAAUGGAAUGAUUAAUACGAUUACGUAUAAGAUUCUGUUCUACUGACGAUACCUCUCAUCGAUUAAAAUAGAUUAUAUAGGGGAAGCCUCUAGAUAUUUCCAAUCGGAAUUUCAGAUAGAAUAUUGUUCAAGUCUUAAUGUUAGUAGCUGGACAGUAGACGUAUCCACGUAAGUGUCCUAUAUAUUAGGAAUCGUAAUGAAAUUGUCUCUGCUGCCACUAAACAUCAGCUGCAAUCACUAUUGUGGAUGAUGACGCUGGUGUAUUCCGAAGGAACCGAAAGAGACAAACCCAAAAAUCUCCAAUCAGUGUCUGCCGAUGGAAGUGGAGGGUAAUUUUAACUGGUGAUGCGAUUUCUGGACUGAUCUCACGCAGAUUUCAAUGGAACCUACAUGAAGACUUUGUAACAAAAACCAAUACAUUUUUUCCAAAAAUAAUCUAGACCGUCUUUUGAAAAGAGCCAAUGUUUUUUACUAAUUUGAAUAUAAACGUGUGACAAUCGCUUGAACAUUUCGUAUGAUGUCGAAGUAAGUUCCACUUUAGAGUUUUUCGUCAUUAUUUACCGUACUUACAGAGCCGGUAUUCAGGAACCAGCGUAAUCCAAAACGAU